rnacentral:rRNA from 1 species
UACGUAGGUGGCGAGCGUUAUCCGGAAUGAUUGGGCGUAAAGGGUGCGUAGGCGGCCUGCUAAGUCUGGAGUGAAAGGUACCGGCUCAACCGGUACAGGCUCUGGAAACUGGCGGGCUAGAGAGCAGGAGAGGGCGGUGGAACUCCAUGUGUAGCGGUGAAAUGCGUAGGUAUAUGGAAGAACACCAGUGGCGAAAGCGGCUCUCUGGUCUGUAACUGACGCUGAGGUUCGAAAGCGUGGGUAGCAAACAGG